CCGAUUUCUCUAGAACAUCUAUAUAUAUCUUUCAGCGUUGCUCGGAUCGUUCACGUCCUAGUCCGGCUUCCACUUCUAUAAUGCUAGGUUAGCGAGCUUUCCCGCGUCUCCAAAUUUUCCAAUCUGAAUCGCAACACAAAGAAGCAAAGAUCAAAGUAAUAAAGUCCUCCUCAUCGGACGACGACGAUGAAGGAGAAGAUCAUCAGGGUCUUUGAUGCAUUGGGAUGCUGAAGGAGUUUAUCCUGGUCUUUGCGGCAAUGAUAGCAUGAGAAAGAAACUGUAGUGCUGCUGGAGCAGCUAGCAAGCGAUGCCGAUCUUUUGAAUUAUCAGAGGUUUGUAAACUGUCUUCACCAGUUGGCACUGCCACUACAUGAUGCCCUCUCCAUUGUGACUGUGAUGGGAAUUGGAAGAUGAGGUUGGAUCGAUCGGUCCCUUUGUUUUUGGCGCCAGUGUUUGGUUGAUACUUUUUUUUCUAAGUUUUACCCGUUAUUUCUGUGAAGUCAACGUGAAUGGUGUUCUUUUGGCGUCGCUACGCUUGAAAUUCUACUUUCCGGUGACUCCAUGAGGUUCAUCUGUUGAUCUCGAAGGCUCUCCACCCAUUGUGCUAGACUACUCAGAUCGACCACAUAAAUUCGAUUCCAUGUCAAUUGACUGGUAUUGGCUAUUCCGACAAAUGGGUAUACUAAUUUAAGCUCCAUGCGCACACUGGAAAUUAUAUUCUAUGUUACAUUGGUAAAAUGCAGCGUAGAUGGCUACAUGAAAGCCAAAGGAUAUGACAUUAUCACAGAGGGAAGUCAUCAUGUCAUGUCAACAUGGAGAUUCAUGAUUCCGAUGGUCAACCAUCCCCAUAGUUGUUUUUAUUCCCCUAGUUUGUAGUUUCGAACCUAUCAAAUUAGUUAUAUUUUAGCUUUUAUCUUUUACUCCUAUGAUUACUAUUGUGUAAUGUAAUAUGAUUCCAUUAACUACUCUUAUCUCUUUACAUGA